rnacentral:rRNA from 1 species
UUUGCAGAGGAUGCUUCGGGUGCAGCCCCCGUCUAAGUGCCCUGGAACGGGCCGUCAUAGAGGGUGAGAAUCCCGUCUGGGACGGGGUGUCUGCGUCCGUGUGAAGCUCCUUCGAAGAGUCGAGUUGUUUGGGAAUGCAGCUCUAAAUGGGUGGUAAAUUUCAUCUAAAGCUAAAUACUGGCCGGAGACCGAUAGCGCACAAGUAGAGUGAUCGAAAGAUGAAAAGCACUUUGAAAAGAGAGUUAAACAGCACGUGAAAUUGUUGAAAGGGAAGCGUUUGCGACCAGACUCGCCCGCGGGGUUCAGCCGGCAUUCGUGCCGGUGUACUUCCCCGUGGGCGGGCCAGCGUCGGUUUGGGCGGCCGGUCAAAGGCCCUCGGAAUGUAUCACCUCUCGGGGUGUCUUAUAGCCGAGGGUGCAAUGCGGCCUGCCCGGACCGAGGAACGCGCUUCGGCUCGGACGCUGGCGUAAUGGUCGUAAAUGACCCGUCUUGAAACACGGACCAAGGAGUCUAACAUCUACGCGAGUGUUCGGGUGUCAAACCCGUACGCGCAGUGAAAGCGAACGGANGUGGGAGCCCCCUCGUGGGGCGCACCAUCGACCGAUCCUGAUGUCUUCGGAUGGAUUUGAGUAC